GAUCAUGGCUCAGAACGAACGCUGGUGGCGUGUCUUAUACAUGCAAGUCGAGCGAGGCAGCAAUGCCGAGCGGCGAACGGGUGAGUAACGCGUAAGCAAUCUGCCCCAUAUCAGGAAAUACCCGUGCCAACGCGCGGUUAAUGUCCAGGAGAGUGGCCUUCCGCAUGGAGGGUUGACUAGAGAUUUAUCGGUAUGGGAUGAGCUUGCGUCCGAUUAGCUAGUUGGCGGGGCAACGGCCCACCAAGGCGACGAUCGGUAGCCGGCCUGAGAGGGUGAUCGGCCACAUUGGGACUGAGAUACGGCCCAGACUCCUACGGGAGGCAGCAGUAGGGAAUAUUGCACAAUGGGGGAAACCCUGAUGCAGCAACGCCACGUGUGGGAAGAAGCAUUUCGGUGUGUAAACCACUGUCAUGAGGGAAUAAGGCCCGCCUUCGGACGGGAUUGAAUGUACCUUGAGAGGAAGCACCGGCAAACUUCGUGCCAGCAGCAGC
rnacentral:rRNA from 1 species